GGAAUCUUCCACAAUGGGCGAAAGCCUGAUGGAGCAACGCCGCGUGUGCGAUGAAGGCUUUCGGGUCGUAAAGCACUGUUGUAUGGGAAGAACAGCUAGAAUAGGAAAUGAUUUUAGUUUGACGGUACCAUACCAGAAAGGGACGGCUAAAUACGUGCCAG
rnacentral:rRNA from 1 species